AUACGAAGGGUGCAAGCGUUACUCGGAAUUACUGGGCGUAAAGCGUGCGUAGGUGGUUGUUUAAGUCUGUCGUGAAAGCCCUGGGCUCAACCUGGGAAUGGCGAUGGAAACUGAGCGACUAGAGUGUGGCAGAGGGUAGUGGAAUUCCUGGUGUAGCAGUGAAAUGCGUAGAGAUCAGGAGGAACAUCCGUGGCGAAGGCGACUGCCUGGGCCAACACUGACACUGAGGCACGAAAGCGUGGGGAGCAAACAGGAUUAGAUACCCAGGUAGUCCACGCUCUAAACGAUGCGAACUGGAUGUUGGGUGCAAUUUGGCACGCAGUAUCGAAGCUAACGCGUUAAGUUCGCCGCCUGGGGAGUACGGUCGCAAGACUGAAACUCAAAGGAAUUGACGGGG
rnacentral:rRNA from 1 species